CCUACGGGUGGCAGCAGUGGGGAAUAUUGCACAAUGGGGGAAACCCUGAUGCAGCGACGCCGCGUGAGUGAAGAAGUAUCUCGGUAUGUAAAGCUCUAUCAGCAGGGAAGAAAAUGACGGUACCUGACUAAGAAGCCCCGGCUAACUACGUGCCAGCAGCCGCGGUAAUCCGUAGGGGGCAAGCGUUAUCCGGAUUUACUGGGUGUAAAGGGAGCGUAGACGGCGCUGCAAGUCCGGAGUGAAAGCCCAUGGCUUAACCAUGGUACUGCUCUGGAAACUGUGGAGCUUGAGUGCGGGAGGGGCAGGCGGAAUUCCUAGUGUAGCGGUGAAAUGCGUAGAUAUUAGGAGGAACACCGGUGGCGAAAGCGCUUUACUGGACCAUUAUUGACGCUGAGGAACGAAAGCCAGGGGAGCAAAUGGGAUUAGAUACCCGAGUAGUC
rnacentral:rRNA from 1 species